GACGAACGCUGGCGGCGUGCUUAACACAUGCAAGUCGAACGAUGAAGCUGGAGCUUGCUCUGGUGGAUUAGUGGCGAACGGGUGAGUAACACGUGAGUAACCUGCCCUGGACUCUGGGAUAACCCCGAGAAAUCGGAGCUAAUACCGGAUAGGACCUUGGAUCGCAUGAUCUGGGGUGGAAAGUUUUUCGGUCUGGGAUGGACUCGCGGCCUAUCAGCUUGUUGGUGAGGUAAUGGCUCACCAAGGCGUCGACGGGUAGCCGGCCUGAGAGGGUGACCGGCCACACUGGGACUGAGACACGGCCCAGACUCCUACGGGAGGCAGCAGUGGGGAAUAUUGCACAAUGGGCGCAAGCCUGAUGCAGCAACGCCGCGUGCGGGAUGACGGCCUUCGGGUUGUAAACCGCUUUUAGUAAGGAAGAAGCCACAAGGUGACGGUACUUGCAGAAAAAGGACCGGCUAACUACGUGCCAGCCGCCGCCGUAACAC
rnacentral:rRNA from 1 species